AAAGAGAUAUCGACAAGAAGUGAUUGAGACUCAAUACUAGUCAAAAUCAACGAGUGUGAAGACAAAUCUUCUUUCAUUCCCAGUAAACCAAAAAUGGUUUUGUAUCAUUGUUACGUCAAAAUUCGCUAUGAUUUUAUUGGAAGGCCAUGAGAUUACUGAUGCUCAAGGGAUUCAACUUUUGACAGUUAUUGUUCAGUGUAGAUAGGACUGCUUUUACGAGGAAAUUUUGGUUUCUCAAAUCGAGCUUAGUUUAGCAAUACAAUGUUAAGUAAAAAGAUUGUGUUGCUUUCUCUUUAAUAAUUGCAGAUUCAGUUGAACAAUCAAAAAAACAGCAGAUAGGAAAAAACAUUUGAAAUGAAAAUUUGGCCAAGUCAAGGAGUCGCGACAAUUUAUUUUACCAUCUGUAGCAUAUGUGUGUAUGGGAAGCAGAAGUAGGCGGAUUCGGGUCAUUUAUAUUGUAUUAUGAACCGUCUUAAUGCUGCUUUCUGCUGACAUGGACAUCUUUAAAAAUAUACAAACAAUUACCGUGUAAUUCACAAUAGAUUUAAUACCAUCAGCAUUAAUGAGUUGGUUGAGAAGCCAUCAUUGCGAAAUCGCAAUGUAGGUAGAGUAAACGAAGCGAAUUGUUUACGAUAAAAUACAGUAUAUCUUUAGAACCGUAGAUAGCUGCAUCAGCGAAACGAUUGGUUUUUUCUGCAAAUACUAUUACAACCAGUAGCAUGAAGAACGCUUCUUACUGCCGCAUCGUUUUUGCCGACCUGGCUGAUCGAUUGACAAAACAAACUUCUAGCAGAAAUAAAUGAUCAGCGCUUCUUAUAUUUAACAUUUGGCAGCGUGCUGCCCGCGUGUGAAUAUUUUCCUUAAGUUUGUAUCCCAACAG